AUUGAACGCUGGCGGCAGGCCUAACACAUGCCAGUCGAGCGGAGCGGCGGACGGGUGGGUAAUGCCUCGGAAUCUGCCUGGUAGUGGGGGAUAACGUCCGGAAACGGGCGCUAAUACCGCAUCCUAUCAGAUGAGCCUAGGUCGGCUUAUCUAGUUGGUGGGGUAAAGGCCUACCAAGGCCACGAUCCGUAACUUGUCUGAGAGGAGGAUCAGUAACACUGGAACUGAGACACGGUCCAGACUCCUACGGGAGGCAGCAGUGGGGAAUAUUGGUCAAUGGGCGAAAGCCUGAUCCAGCCAUGCCGCGUGUGGGAAGAAGGUCUUCGGAUUGUAAAGCACUUUAAGUUGGGAGGCGUUACCAACAGAAUAAGCACCUGCUAACUUCGUGCCAGCAGCCGCGGUAAUUC
rnacentral:rRNA from 1 species